AUAUGACUAGCUACAGUUUCAAUACUUUCAAUUUCCUCUCCAUUCUUCCUACUCCUGUCCCACCCAAAUUUUUGCCUUUUCUGUGAGUAAGCCUUUCUCUUAACAAUAUAGAUAGAGAAGUUUCUGCUGGACUGUACACUGCAUAAAAGCAGGGACUUGGUCUUAUCUAUUUUUUUUAUUUAAACUUUACCUUCUGCCAUAAGGUUCUAAGGCAAAAGAGCAGUAAAGGCUAGGCAAUAGGGGGUAAGUAAAUUGCCCAGGGUCACACAGUGUAUUAGAAUAGAUAAUCUGUGGAGAUAUUUCUGGUUGUAAUAACUGGAUAUACCCUGUCUUGACUAGAGAGAUGCUAGGGAAACCUGAGGGUGCCUAGUUGUUAUGGAGAUAGAGGUACUUCUGAGAGAGAGAGAUGCUACUAGAGGGGAUACUCUGGGGUUGCCUAUUGAUCACUGCUAAUGGCUAAUAGAUCAAUAUUUUCCCUACCCUCCUCCUCCCUCAAUACCACCCUUCACCACCCUUUUCUGAAGCCAAUGGCUUUGCCCCUCCUCCCUUAGUGGACUAUGAGAUUUAUGAAGAAAAACUCCUUUCUCUUCCUUUCUCAAGUAAGGCGGUUUAUUGGGAACAGCAGUAUGGAGAUUGAGCUCUACUGUGAAGGCCACUGGAAGUGAUGCAUGGAUAUGGAAAUGAUGCACAGUCGCCAAGGGCUAAGUAAGGUUCUGGUUCUUCCAGGGGUGUGCUAGAACAAGCUUGAAAAGACGGUGAGAACUGAUUAUUAAAUUUUCAGUGUGGGCAUUUACACCCCCAAAUCAGCAAAGGCUACCAGUCAAGUCUUGAAUGAUUGUUUUGUUGAUGAUUAAACUUAAGAAAGUGAAGGAAAAUGUCUAUUGAUAAGCAGAUUGAAUUUAAAAGUGUGUGUAAUUUUUUUUUCCUCCAGAGAACUGGUU
rnacentral:lncRNA from 1 species